CCACCAACCAAGCACACCACACUACAUCACACCACACAGGCCCCCCAGUCUCACACACACACACACACACACACACACACACACACACACACAGAGCCCUAAUCACGUCUGAAAACGCCUUUCCACUGCCAGUGAAGCUGAAAAUAUCUUCAUAAACAAGGUUAGACUUCAGACGAAUUCCAGGCCUUUGAGGUCUCAGUGUACAUACCUCAUGCAUCAAAGGUCAAAGGCCAAUAGCCUCAAGCAAAAGGAACACCCAUGACAAGAGGACUGUUCAAAUAACCCUGAAAUUCCAGGUUCCCAGGUCAAAAAGAUGGAGAGGAGGAAAAGGAUAAAGAGGAGAGGCAGUGAGAGGAGAGGUGUGUCUGGUGAGAUGACUCUAUAUUCAAAGAAAUAUUCAGAAAAGCAGCCAAUAAGACUCCAAUGUAGGUGGGAACUCCUGUAAUACUGUUUAAAGAGCAUCUCAGGGAAAUUCCUCAAGAAAUCGGUCUCUUCACAUGGAGCUGUAAGGUGCUGUGGCCUUCAGGCAGAGACAGAGGCUCCUUCACAUUCUUCCACUCUUCUGUGAGAUGCAGGGUCAAACGGAGUGCAGGAUGUCACUAAAGAGAAAAAAAGAGAAAGAUCAGAAAAAACAGCCACCCAGUGAGAGAGAGAGAAAGAGAGAGAGGUGGGGGAAGAGAGGAUGGAAGUCUAAAACUAGUCCAUCUAGUUCCUCUGUGUCAAUAUGGUUGUCGUUCCAUUACCUCAGUGUACCAGAACAUCUUAUCUCUCUCUCUGUACCAUGUCUUCUGUCUGUUCUCAUUUAUGUCUUUGGUCACUUUUUUUCCUCUCAUGCUUUCUACAUACAUUUCUGAUCUAACCUGAAAACACAAAAAAAGGCAUAUUUAGCCUCUGUAUUGACAUUUGUAUUGUACAAUGUAGCCUUGUAGAAAAGUCACAUAAGCUUCACAUGUUAACAAUCAUGUUCCACAUGUGCAGUUUCAGAGCAUAAAUCUUUUUCACAUGAUCAAUUAAAUAAUCG
ensembl:lncRNA